UGCUUAACACAUGCAAGUCGAACGGAAACGAUACUAGCUUGCUAGUAGGCGUCGAGUGGCGGACGGGUGAGUAACGCGUAGGAAUCUGCCUGAUAGUGGGGGAUAGCCCGGAGAAAUUCGGAUUAAUACCGCAUAAUCUAUUCGUAGUAAAGUGGGGGACUUUCGAGCCUCACGCUAUCAGAUGAGCCUGCGUAAGAUUAGCUUGUUGGUAGGGUAAAAGCCUACCAAGGCGACGAUCUUUAGCUGGUCUGAGAGGAUGAUCAGCCACAUCGGGACUGAGACACGGCCCGAACUCCUACGGGAGGCAGCAGUGGGGAAUAUUGGACAAUGGGGGCAACCCUGAUCCAGCAAUACCGCGUGUGUGAAGAAGGCCUGAGGGUUGUAAAGCACUUUCAAUUGUGAAGAAAAGUUAACGGUUAAUAACCGUUAGCCUUGACGUUAACUUUAGAAGAAGCACCGGCUAACUCCGUGCCAGCAGCCGCGGUAAUACGGAGGGUGCAAGCGUUAAUCGGAAUUACUGGGCGUAAAGCGUGCGUAGGCGGUUUAUUAAGUCAGAUGUGAAAGCCCCGGGCUUAACCUGGGAACUGCAUUUGAAACUGGUAAACUAGAGUAUGGUAGAGGAAAGUGGAAUUUCUGGUGUAGCGGUGAAAUGCGUAGAUAUCAGAAGGAACAUCAAUGGCGAAGGCAGCUUUCUGGACCAAUACUGACGCUGAGGUACGAAAGCGUGGGUAGCAAACAGGAUUAGAUACCCUGGUAGUCCACGCCGUAAACGAUGAUAACUAGCCGUUGGGGGGAUUUACCCUUUAGUGGCGAAGCUAACGCGUUAAGUUAUCCGCC
rnacentral:rRNA from 1 species